AUCGAAGCCCCAGUAAACGGCGGCCGUAACUAUAACGGUCCUAAGGUAGCGAAAUUCCUUGUCGGGUAAGUUCCGACCUGCACGAAUGGCAUAAUGAUGGCCAGGCUGUCUCCACCCGAGACUCAGUGAAAUUGAAAUCGCCGUGAAGAUGCGGUGUACCCGCGGCUAGACGGAAAGACCCCGUGAACCUUUACUAUAGCUUGACACUGAACCUUGAAUUUUAAUGUGUAGGAUAGGUGGGAGACUAAGAAGCGGUAACGCCAGUUAUCGUGGAGUCGGUGUUGAAAUACCACCCUUUAACGUUUGAUGUUCUAACGAGGCACCUGGAACGGGUGUUCGGACAGUGUCUGGUGGGUAGUUUGACUGGGGCGGUCUCCUCCCAAAGCGUAACGGAGGAGCACGAAGGUUGGCUAAUGACGGUCGGACAUCGUCAGGUUAGUGCAAUGGUAGAAGCCAGCUUAACUGCGAGACGGACAAGUCGAGCAGGUACGAAAGUAGGUCAUAGUGAUCCGGUGGUUCUGAAUGGAAGGGCCAUCGCUCAACGGAUAAAAGGUACUCCGGGGAUAACAGGCUGAUACCGCCCAAGAGUUCAUAUCGACGGCGGUGUUUGGCACCUCGAUGUCGGCUCAUCACAUCCUGGGGCUGAAGUAGGUCCCAAGGGUAUGGCUGUUCGCCAUUUAAAGUGGUACGCGAGCUGGGUUUAGAACGUCGUGAGACAGUUCGGUCCCUAUCUGCCGUGGGCGUUGGAGGAUUGAGGGGGGUUGCUCCUAGUACGAGAGGACCGGAGUGAACGCACCGCUGGUGUUCCAGUUGUUUCGCCAGAAGCAUUGCUGGGUAGCUAAGUGCGGAAGAGAUAAGUGCUGAAAGCAUCUAAGCACGAAACUUGCCCCGAGAUGAGUUCUCCCUGACAUAGAGUCAGUAAGGGUUGUUGAAGACGACGACGUAGAUAGGUGGGGUGUGUAAGCGGUGUGAGCCGUUGAGCUAACCCAUACUAAUUGCCCGAGAGGCUUAACUAUACAACGCUGAAGGGUUUU
rnacentral:rRNA from 1 species